ACACCAUAAGCCUCUCUUUCUCUCUCUAACUUCUCUCUAGCCUCCCUAAACCCCUCCCAAGUCUACGGAACCUCCCUAGCACGAGAAGAAAGCCCCGGAGCGCCCGACGGCUCCGAGAAGAAAAGCUUUCGGCUUGGAAACGCUGCUCCAGCAAAGCCCGGUUUUUAAUAAAAAUUCGCUGUUUUAUCAAAGGAAUAUCGUUUUGAGAGUAUCGAAGCGCUGUCCGAGUGCUGAGUCACCACCAACUCAGGUGACGAUAUGAAGUGACAUUACACAGAGAGAUUUAAAGAGAUGUAGAUCACUAGUGUAAAUAAUUGUAGUUUAGAGGAUCGCGGGAAGACGAAGGCGUGACCAUACACAUCAUCAUGUUUUGGACUUAUGAUUUUGGGAAAACUCUGAUAUGGAACAUGUUUUGAAAACUAUGUUGUAAACGAUUUAUGUUUUGGUUAGAUUUUAAAACUUUAAAUUUUCAUGGAUUUUAUGGAUGUUACAUCUCGACACCCGAGCACAAAUACAUUCUUUCCAAUAUCAGCUAGUAC